ACAGGAUUAGAUACCCUGGUAGUCCACGCCGUAAACGAUGGAUACUAGCUGUUGGGAGCAAUCUCAGUGGCUAAGCGAAAGUGAUAAGUAUCCCACCUGGGGAGUACGUUCGCAAGAAUGAAACUCAAAGGAAUUGACGGGGGCCCGCACAAGCGGUGGAGCAUGUGGUUUAAUUCGAUGAUACGCGAGGAACCUUACCAAGGCUUAAAUGUAGAUUGACCGGUUUGGAAACAGAUCUUUCGCAAGACAAUUUACAAGGUGCUGCAUGGUUGUCGUCAGCUCGUGCCGUGAGGUGUCAGGUUAAGUCCUAUAACGAGCGCAACCCCUGUUGUUAGUUGCCAGCGAGUCAUGUCGGGAACUCUAACAAGACUGCCAGUGCAAACUU
rnacentral:rRNA from 1 species